rnacentral:rRNA from 1 species
UGCCCAACAGCUUGCCCGCCCAAACAUUUUCAACAAACCCCCAUUAAUAACCCCUAAAUACCCCAAUAUUUACAUCAAACAAACCAUUUUUCCCCCUUAGUAUAGGCGAUUGAAAAGGGACUUCGGCGCAAUAGAGAAAGUACCGCAAGGGAAUGCUGAAAGAGAAGUGAAAUAGCCCAGUUAAGCCUAAAAAAGCAGAGAUUUAAACUCGUACCUUUUGCAUCAUGAUUUAGCGAGUGUACCCCGAGCAAAGAGUACUUUAGUUUGACGUCCCGAAACUACGUGAGCUACUCCAAGACAGCCUAUCAAUAGGGCGCACCCGUCUCUGUAGCAAAAGAGUGGGGAGAGCUUUGAGUAGAGGUGACAAACCUACCGAACCUAGUUAUAGCUGGUUGUCCAAGAAAUGAAUAGAAGUUCAGCCUCUUGGCUUCUCUUUUCACCUUAGUUUAACCCCUAAUUGAUGCACUAAAGAAACCAAGAGAGUUAGUCAAAGGGGGUACAGCCCCUUUGAACCAAGACACAACUUAGCCAGGUGGGUAAAGAUCAUA